AUGCUCGCGAGAUCUUUCCGACCGACGACAAGUCUCCUCGCGAUUCUUAAAUUUAUCCUUUUUGACGCAGAAGAUAAAAUUAAAUCCACAAGCAUAAAUAUAGAAGCAGAGCACAGAACAGAAAACAUCAGUCCUGGGAUUCCGGACGUUAGACCAGAGAUACCAAAGACCACUACUAUAGAUUCCUUAUACACACAUACAUACACACUCAAGGAAGAAUCCCCUAAGAGACAAGUAAUAACGCUUAAAGAUGGUCACAGAAGCACUGCAAGAUGUCAAAAGCAACAUAUAUACAAGGCUUUUUCACCUACCCAGAGAAUGUAA